CUAAUUUCAUAUUUUCAACACACGAGGAAGUUUCUUAUUUCCUGAAUUUUCUCCUAGAUAAGGGGACAUGAAGCCCUGAAUGAGAGGUGACCCUAAACAGCAUUGCUUGAGGCCCAGGAUGACUGCUGUGAUAUUUUUUUUUCCUGUUGUAAUGGAGGAGUCAUGGACAUCUGUCCCACUGGGAAUCCUCAGUCCUUUGAAAAGAAAAACAGAGGUUAAAAAUCUGCUAAACCAGUUAGCAGCAACCAGGAAUAAUCCUUCUCCUCUACAGCCAGGUGACUGUGAGGAAGCAGGAUGACCUGAUGUCACUCACAUUGUUGCCUCUGCCUUUGAAGAGCCCAGCUCUCCCCUCAGCCCUGGGAUGGGAUGGCUAAAUGGAUUCUCUGUGUUUACCGCUGGCCUCACUCCCAGUGCACUCUUCAAUUUGUCUAACAAUAAAGGUGGACAGAAGAGUUGGACUCUCCCAAAGAAUGGAUGAAUUUUUUAUUGAAUGGUUGAAUUGAGUUGCAAGUCGCACAAUAUUUAUUCAUAGGGGUUUAUUCACAGAGAUAUUCUGCUGAAAAGUGACCCAUACAACAAGUCUAGAGGUCUGAUUUUCCUCAUCUUGCACUCACCUAUUCACAUGGUCGCACCCGAUAUCUGCUGUGCUCCACACACACCACACCACUGUCUGCUGCGCUCGCUUGCACCUGCACCUUAUUACUCUGCCCUUCAGUUAUACACAGCUAAACAGGCUAAACCAGUAAAAAUAUGCACGUCUGAAUGUUCAGCCUAAGUUUCUGUUUGCUUGAUCAAAAAAUUUUACAUUCAUCUUGUCAAAAAAGUGAAGGCUGAUAACAGACGGGAAGGCCAGACAGGAGGCAAUAGGCCUAGACUAUUUUGUGAUAUGAUCACAUUGUCAUGUCCUGUGUGAGGACACAAUGUGAAACCACAAAGCUACACACUUGAAGGUGGCGCUUCCUCUCCUCUGUCUUAUCUGAUGAUCAACAGAGUGCAAACCUGUCCCUUUUUAUCAGGUUAUUUAGGUAGCAAAUAUUUAGACCUACCUGGGUAGAAACAGCAGGGAGUCUUUUGAUAAGUGAUCAUCUGGUUUGGUCUCAUGUCAUAUGGGUCAUGUGGUUUUCUGGAACUAUGUUCAAACACAACAACACUCACCCACGCCUCCCGUUUUCCUGUAUUUGUAUCUUCUGCUGUAAGCUGGAAUCCAGGUGUUUAAGAGUGUAGUUUCUAAGUACAAUGGCUUAAGGGAGAAUUUUGAUUGCAACAUGGUAUGGCCAUUCAUCAUGUGCCUGUCCUGCAUUGGAUCAGUAGAGACCAUUUCAGUGAAUUGUUUCCCAAAUGUAAAAUGGGAUAGAUUUGUAACAUAAAUACACUGUAACACAAAAAAUACCCAUAAUUAUAUAUUCAAACAUCCAGUUAUUAUUACACCUCCUGGCAACUGAAUAGACAACAGAAUUAGAACCUCUCUUCUAACAUUUUCUCUCCAAAUUGUAAAACAGUAUUUUAACCAUUGUGCCAGAAAUAUGCUGUAAAAUGUCUGCAGUGACUAUAUGUAUGGUUUGGAAAGACAUUUUAUUGAUAUUUUUGUUGAUAUUAAACAUUUUCUCUCCAAAUUAUAAAACAGUAUUUUAACCUUUGUGCCAGAAAUAUGCUGUAAAACAUCUACAAUGACUAUAUGUAUGGUUUGGAAAGACAUUUUAUUGAUAUUUUUGUUGAUAUUAAAGAUUACAAAUUUAGUUUCACAUUUUUCUUCUACUCUUGUGUCAAAGAAUCCUAACAUAAUUUAUGCACAAAUUAUCUCUGUAGUGUGGUAUAU